UGAGAUGUUGGGUUAAGUCCCGCAACGAGCGCAACCCUCGUCCUAUGUUGCCAGCGGGUCAUGCCGGGGACUCAUGGGAGACUGCCGGGGUCAACUCGGAGGAAGGUGGGAUGACGUCAAAUCAUCAUGCCCCUUAUGUCUUGGGCUUCACGCAUGCUACAAUGGCCGGUACAAAGGGCUGCGAUACCGCGAGGUGGAGCGAAUCCCAGAAAGCCGGUCUCAGUUCGGAUUGGGGUCUGCAACUCGACCCCAUGAAGUCGGAGUCGCUAGUAAUCGCAGAUCAGCAACGCUGCGGUGAAUACGUUCCCGGGCCUU
rnacentral:rRNA from 1 species